rnacentral:misc_RNA from 1 species
UUAAGCAAGCUAUAGAAAAAGCUGAAAGAAUUACAUCCAACAUGCUCAAUCCUCGAGUAGAAGAGUUACAUAUCUUAGGCUUUCAAUAGUUCAGGCUGCUAACCUACAAUUUUUUAAUAAUUAGAAAUCAUUUCUCAUUUAAUAGCUGCAUCAGGGACUAAACUAUCCAUGUAAGAUAUGACGUAGUCAAAUUGUGGUUCUCUACCCGUAUAGAGAUGUAAGAAGUGAAAAACAAUUAUUGAAACCAGAAGGUGGUAGGUUAGCUCAGCUGAUUUUCGUCAUUUACUCUAUCAGUCGAAGGAUUGGUCACAAAUAGAUUUAGUCCUCGUGUCCGUCCUGGGGCCCCUCCUUUAACCAAAGACAAGUCCAGAACAUACAUGCUAUCGGAUGCCUUUUCAUAUUCUCCAGCACCACAGUUAAUUAAAAUCUUCUGAUCAAUCUUCGAGACUAAAUGUUCAACAGGCAAGUCGACUAAUUCUGAAUAUGUUUUAUGAGCAGUCUUCACACCUUCAGUGAGACCCAAGAUGUUCUACAUAAAUAGGAAGUUACAAGAAGUAGCAUAACUAAAUGCAUUACUUGAUCAUUGGACAUUUAGAUAAACAAGAAAUAUGUUAACUAGAACCUUACAACUGUAAAAAAUAUUACACAAUGAGAGGAGCAAACCUCACCUUAAGAUUCUCAUAACAACUUUCUAGGUCAUCGUUCACCAAAAUAUGAUCAAAGAGACCGGAUGAGUUUCCUUGUUCGAGUUCCGCCCUAGCAUUUCGGAGACGCUUUUGGAUUUGCUCUUCAGUCUCAGUUGCUCUUGCACGAAGGCGCUUCUCAAGUUCUUCAAAUGAUGGUGGAGAUAUAAAAAUGAAAAUAGCUUCAAGAGAGCUAGCUCUCACAGACCUUGCACCUUGAACAUCAAUAUCAAGGAUGCAUCGCUUGCCAGCAUCAGCAACCACCUCAACUGCUUCGACACUGGUUCCAUAAAGAUUACCAUGAACAGAAGCAAACUCCAGGAAUUUCCCAUCCUUUAUCUCUCUCUCCAUUACACUGCGGUCACUGAAAUGGUAAUGAAAUCCAUUCUGCUCUUUUUCUCUUGGGGCCCGGGUCGUGUGGCUCACAGAAAAUCCAAACAUAGAUGGGAACUCUUUCAUUAGUUCAGAUAUCAAGGUACCCUUCCCCACUCCAGAAGGGCCACUAAUGACAAUAGGCUUCUCCACAUUACCUAAAACUCCCUUACUCCAGGCAACCACCUCAGUUCCAUAUGUCUUUUCCUGUUCUCUUAUAAAUGAGGUGCCCACCUCAAGAAACCAAAAGCAUUCAUCAGACUUGGAAUUGCCCUUAAUAACCAAUAUACGAUCACCAUUUAAAAGCACAGCUGAGUGGCCAUUUGAGACCUUGGGUUUAGUACCCAGCACAGUGGGGUUUAUCCAUUCCCCACUAGAUUUCUCAAAUAUUUGAACUCCAAUUACCGCUGUCGACUCAUGAUCAGCCCCGCCAAUCACAUAAAUUUUAGAGCCGAUAGAAAUAGCUGUUUUGUGGCCUUUAGAUUUCAAAUCGAUCCCAUUUGGAAAAUCUCCCAAGAGACUAUCAGCAAAGAAAGCUGGUGCUUCUCCCAUAGAUGUAAGUAAGUAUUCCUUGUAUAAAAGAUUCAACCUGAUAAACAAAGAUUUAAGGUUAGGCAGAAAGAAUAUUAUUAAUCUUGUAUUUGGUAUUGUAUUGUGUAUGUAUUGAAUGAAGAAGAUAGAGAUCUGUAUUAUAAAUGUCAAAGAAUAAAGUUAGAAAAGUCAGCAAGUUUGAAGGUGGAAGAGGAAGAGGAAGAGGAUGGCGCGGAUGAUUACACUUUUCUUGUUUUCCAUUAGGAGAAUCCAAUUUCUUA